UACGUAGGGGGCGAGCGUUGUCCGGAAUCAUUGGGCGUAAAGAGCGUGUAGGCGGCCAGAUAGGUCCGUUGUGAAAACUGGAGGCUUAACCUCCAGCGGUCGAUGGAAACCAUUUGGCUAGAGUCCGGAAGAGGAGAGUGGAAUUCCUGGUGUAGCGGUGAAAUGCGCAGAUAUCAGGAAGAACACCCGUGGCGAAGGCGGCUCUCUGGGACGGUACUGACGCUGAGACGCGAAAGCGUGGGGAGCGAACAGG
rnacentral:rRNA from 1 species